rnacentral:rRNA from 1 species
CCUACGGGUGGCUGCAGUGGGGAAUAUUGGACAAUGGGGGGAACCCUGAUCCAGCGACGCCGCGUGAGUGAAGAAGUAUUUCGGUAUGUAAAGCUCUAUCAGCAGGGGAGAAAGAAAUGACGGUACCUGACUAAGAAGCCUCGGCUAACUACGUGCCAGCAGCCGCGGUAAUACGUAGGGGGCAAGCGUUAUCCGGAUAUACUGGGUGUAAAGGUAGCGUAGACGGCGAUGCGAGUCUGAAGUGAAAGGCCGGGGCCCAACCCGCGGACUGCUUUGGAAACUGGAUGGCUGGAGUGCGGGAGGGGAGAGUGGAAUUCCUGGUGUAGCGGUGAAAUGCGUAGAUAUUGGGAAGAACACCAGUGGCGAAGGCGGCUUACUGGACUGUAACUGACGUUGAGGCUCGAAAGCGUGGGGAGCAAACAGGAUUAGAUACCCUUGUAGUC